rnacentral:RNase_P_RNA from 1 species
GGUGGAGGGAAGCUCUCGGUGUGGCCACGAGCUGAGUGCUCCGUCACUCUACACCCUGUCCCUUGGGAAGGUCUGAGACUAGGGCCAGCAGCGGCCCUAAUAGGGCCCUCCCUGAGCCAAGGGGAGGUGAGUUUUAAAAAACAAAACAGAAAACUGCCAAGCUUGUAACUCUGUAGGGGUAGAAAGCCUCAUCUUUCUCCCUUGGAACUGGCUGGUGGUUUUGAACUGCUGGCCUUGUGGUUAACAGCCCAACUCGUAACCAGAGUAACACCAGGGCUCCUAUGUUGAAACCUAGAACCUUCUUUAUUAGAAAGUAUACUGUGAACUCUCCCACUGUGGAACCCAAACCCACGUU